rnacentral:rRNA from 1 species
GAUGAACGCUGGCGGCGUGCCUAAUACAUGCAAGUCGAACGCAGUGGGGGCGGGUGCGUAACACGUGGGUAACCUCCCAUCAGAGGGGAUAACCCUUGGAAACAGGUGCUAAACCGAUACUGAUGGAUGAACCCGCGGUGCAUGAGCUAGUCGGUGAGGUAACGGCUCACCAAGGCAACGAUGCAUAGCCGACCUGAGAGGGUGAGCGGCCAGACUGGGACUGAGACACGGCCCAGACUCCUACGGGAGGCAGCAGUAGGGAAUCUUCGGCAAUGGACGAAAGUCUGACGGAGCAACGCCGCGUGUGUGAAGAAGGUUUUCGGAUCGUAAAACUCUGUUGGUAGAGAAGCGGUAUCUAACCAGAAAGCCACGGCUAACUACGUGCCAGCCGCCGCGGUAAUAC